rnacentral:rRNA from 1 species
UACGAAGGGGGCUAGCGUUGCUCGGAAUCACUGGGCGUAAAGCGCACGUAGGCGGCUUUUUAAGUCAGAGGUGAAAUCCUGGAGCUCAACUCCAGAACUGCCUUUGAUACUGGAGAGCUUGAGUCCGGGAGAGGUGAGUGGAACUGCGAGUGUAGAGGUGAAAUUCGUAGAUAUUCGCAAGAACACCAGUGGCGAAGGCGACUACCUGGAUCGAUACUGACACUGAGGCGCGAAAGCGUGGGGAGCAAACAGG